UUUUUUUUUUUUUUAUUUUAUUUUAUAAAAGUUUUUUUUUGUUUAUUAUUUAUUUUAUUUAAUUUUUUUUUUUUAGUUUAUUUGUACAGUGUUGGACAUUUAUGUUUUUUUUAGAAGUAGAUUUUUUUUUUUGUACCUUUUGUAUCAGGGUUAAUUAAAUUUUUUUAUAUAUUUUUAUUUCCCGAAAUUUUAAAAUUUACUUAUAUUUGUAUUUUGUUGUGGUAAAAUUAUUUAUAAAUUAUUGGUAGUUUUGAUAUGAAAUUCAUUUAAUAUUAUUUCUGGUUACUUAAGAAUUUAAUUUAAUUAAGGAUUUUUUUUUGUUUAAUUAUUUUUUUUUUUCAUUAAAAUUUCUAAAAAUAAGGGGGAUAAGCUCUUUAUUUUAUUAUAAUUUUUUUUUUUUUUAUUUUUGUAAGAUUAGAAUCUUUUAACUAAAGUUCGUUAAUGAUUUAAUAUUUAUUUAUUUAUAAUUUAGUUUUUUAUUAAGUUUUUUUGUUUAAUUUUUCUCUUUUUAUUUAUGAUUAAAUUAGUAAGUUUAAAAAUUUUUUUUAUGAACUAGGCAAUAAUAUUUCUCGCUUGUUUAACAAAAACAUGUUUUUUUGUUUAUUUAUUUAAGAUUGGCCCUGCUCAAUGAUAUUUAAAUAGCCGCGGUAAUUUAACUGUGCAAAGGUAGCAUAAUAAUUAGUCUUUUAAUUGAGGUCUGGAAUGAAUGGGUUGACGAGGAAAUAACUUUAUUAAUUUAAUUUUGUUAAAAUUAAUCUUUAAGUUAAAAAGCUUAAAUUUUUGAUUGGGACGAUAAGACCCUAUAGAUCUUUAUUUUUUUUUUUAUAAAAUUAAUUUAGUAUAUAAUUAUUUUUUUGAAAAGUAAAAAUUUUGUUGGGGUGACAUAUAAAAUUUUAAACUUUAUUUUUUCUUUUACUUUUAUUUUUGGUUUAUUUGAUCCUUAAUUUUGGAAUUUAGAUUAAGAUACCUUAGGGAUAACAGCGUUAUAUAUUUGGAGAGUUCAAAUUGAUAAAUAUGUUUGCGACCUCGAUGUUGGAUUAAAUUUAAUUGUGGGGUAGGUUUUACAAUGUUAGGUCUGUUCGACCUUUAAAAUUUUACAUGAUCUGAGUUCAAAUCGGCGUGAGCCAGAUUGGUUUCUAUCUUUUUAAGUUUAAGUUUGAUUAGUACGAAAGGACUUUCAUA
rnacentral:rRNA from 1 species